rnacentral:rRNA from 1 species
UGGGGAAUUUUGCACAAUGGGGGAAACCCUGAUGCAGCGACGCCGCGUGAUUUAGAAGGCCUUCGGGUUGUAAAAAUCUUUUCUAUGGGAAGAAAAUGACAGUACCAUAGGAAUAAGGACCGGCUAACUACGUGCCAGCAGCCGCGGUAAUACGUAGGUCCCGAGCGUUGUCCGGAUUUAUUGGGCGUAAAGCGAGCGCAGGCGGUUAGAUAAGUCUGAAGUUAAAGGCAGUGGCUCAACCAUUGUAGGCUUUGGAAACUGUUUAACUUGAGUGCAGAAGGGGAGAGUGGAAUUCCAUGUGUAGCGGUGAAAUGCGUAGAUAUAUGGAGGAACACCGGUGGCGAAAGCGGCUCUCUGGUCUGUAACUGACGCUGAGGCUCGAAAGCGUGGGGAGCGAACAGG